rnacentral:tRNA from 1 species
GGGGUCGUGGCUCAGCAGGAGAGCACUCUUCUUGUGCAUGUGAAGCCCUGGGUUCGAUCCUCAGCACCACA